rnacentral:rRNA from 1 species
AAGUCGUAACAAGGUUGGGGGCGAUGACCUUCCGGGGCCACCUGCCGAAGCCUUUGCAGCCCCUCGCGGGCAGGCCGCGCGCGACUCUAAAGAAGCCGGCCGUCGCAAGUCGGGCGCUCGCGCCCGGCGACACUUUCGAACUGCGGGGACCCCCGAAAGCGGGGCGCUACUAACCGGGCCGGGGAGACCCGCCCGGGGCCCACGGUAACGACGUGGGGUACAGUAACAAGGCGCCCCGAUGACACGGGCUAUCCGCAGCCAACUCCCAGGGCGCGCGCCCGGGAAGAGGUUCACAGACUAGGCGGAAGUGGGUGGGCACAGUGCCCGCUUAAGAUAUAGUCGGGCCCCUGCGGGAGACCGCCCGGGGAAAGCAGCCGUUCCGUAGGUGAACCUGCGGAAGGAUCAUUACCGUGAAGCGGCCGGGUCCGCCCGUGCCCGCAUCCAAAACCGUGUCUACCAGCCAGUUGCUUCGGCGGGACGCCGGGCUCCCCUCCCCGGGGAACCCCGGCGGCCGCGGCCCGCCAGAAUGCCCCUAGAAUCAGUGUCACCCGCAGUCAGAUGAGAGCGAGAAACGAAACAAAACUUUCAACAACGGAUCUCUUGGUUCCGGCAUCGAUGAAGAACGCAGCGAAAUGCGAUAAUUAAUGUGAAUUUGCAGAAUUCAGNNGAAUCAUCNAGNCUUUGGAACGCACAUUGCGCCCGCUGGCAUUCCGGCGGGNACGCCUGUUCGGANCGUCAUUNNACCCCUCAGCUCGGCUUGUCUUGGGGCCCUGCCGUCCCGCACGCCCCAAAAUCGUCGGCGGAACGGGGCACCCCCCCCAGCGUGACGCACUCGNGCAACNGGGGGGUACCGCCCGCCUCACCAAGCCUACAAGUUGACCUCGGAUCAGGCGGGGAUNCCCGCUGAACUUAAGCAUAUCAAUAAGCGGAGGAAAAGAAACCAACGGGGAUUGCCUCAGUAACGGCGAGUGAAGCGGCACCAGCUCAAAUUUGAAAUCUGACCCCCUCGGGGCCCGAGUUGUAAUUUGAAGAGGAAGCUUCGCGAACGGCACCGCCCCAAGUUCCUUGGAACCGGACGCUACAGAGGGUGAGAGCCCCGUAUCCGGGCGGAUGCCCGCCGCGUGUGAAGCUCCUUCGACGAGUCGAGUUGUUUGGGAAUGCAGCUCUAAUCGGGAGGUAAAUUCCUUCUAAAGCUAAAUACCGGCCGGAGACCGAUAGCGCACAAGUAGAGUGAUCGAAAGAUGAAAAGCACUUUGAAAAGAGAGUUAAAAAGCACGUGAAAUUGUUGAAAGGGAAGCGCUCGCGACCAGACUCGGCCGGGGGGGAUCAGCCGUCGCUCUGCGGCGGCGCCCUCCCCCUCGACCGGGCCAGCGUCGGUUUGGGCGGCCGGACAAAGGCGGCGGGAACGUGGCUCCUCUCGGGGAGUGUUAUAGCCCGUCGCGGAAUGCGGCCAGCCCGGAUCGAGGACCGCGCUUCGGCUAGGACGCUGGCGUAAUGGUCGUGAGCGGC